CGAGGGGUAGGGUAGCAAUACCUGAGACCGGCGCACGGGUGCGUAACGCGUAUGCAAUCUACCUUUUGCAGGGGAAUAGCCCAGAGAAAUUUGGAUUAAUGCCCCAUGGUAUUAUCGGAUGGCAUCAUUUGAUAAUUAAAGUCACAACGGCAAAAGAUGAGCAUGCGUCCCAUUAGUUAGUUGGUAAGGUAACGGCUUACCAAGACGAUGAUGGGUAGGGGUCCUGAGAGGGAGAUCCCCCACACUGGUACUGAGACACGGACCAGACUCCUACGGGAGGCAGCAGUGAGGAAUAUUGGACAAUGGGCGCAAGCCUGAUCCAGCCAUGCCGCGUGCAGGAAGACGGUCCUAUGGAUUGUAAACUGCUUUUGUACGGGAAGAAACACUCCUACGUGUAGGAGCUUGACGGUACCGCAAGAAUAAGGAUCGGCUAACUCCGUGCCAGCAGCCGCGGUAAUACGGAGGAUCCAAGCGUUAUCCGGAAUCAUUGGGUUUAAAGGGUCCGUAGGCGGUUUAAUAAGUCAGUGGUGAAAUCUGGUCGCUCAACGAUCAAACGGCCAUUGAUACUGUUAGACUUGAAUUAUUGUGAAGUAACUAGAAUAUGUAGUGUAGCGGUGAAAUGCUUAGAUAUUACAUGGAAUACCAAUUGCGAAGGCAGGUUACUAACAAUGGAUUGACGCUGAUGGACGAAAGCGUGGGG
rnacentral:rRNA from 1 species